GACGAACGCUGGCGGCGUGCCUAAUACAUGCAAGUAGAACGCUGAAGGAGGAGCUUGCUUCUCUGGAUGAGUUGCGAACGGGUGAGUAACGCGUAGGUAACCUGCCUGGUAGCGGGGGAUAACUUUUGGAAACGAUGGCUGAUACCGCAUAAGAGUUGCUGUUGCAUGACAUUUGCUGAAAAGUUGCAAUUGUUUCCUUACCAGUUGGACCUGCGUUGUAUUAGCUAGUUGGUGGGGUAACGGCUUACCAAGGCGACGAUACAUAGCCGACCUGAGAGGGUGAUCGGCCACACUGGGACUGAGACACGGCCCAGACUCCUACGGGAGGCAGCAGUAGGGAAUCUUCGGCAAUGGACGGAAGUCUGACCGAGCAACGCCGCGUGAGUGAAGAAGGUUUUCGGAUCGUAAAGCUCUGUUGUAAGAGAAGAACGAGUGUGAGAGUGGAAAGUUCACACUGUGACGGUAUCUUACCAGAAAGGGACGGCUAACUACGUG
rnacentral:rRNA from 1 species